AAUUACCGCCUUAAAGAUAAGAUUUUUCCAUUGAUCUACCCGAUAUCAAUUAAGGGUGAAGGGGUGCUGCAAUUUUUUCUACCGAAAAUGAUUUCGCGGGAACAGAAACUUGUUAAAAUAAUAUAUCCACCAUUUUGUUUUUAAUUGAUAAACAACACGACAUUCUAUCGCUCACAUUGAACUUCAUGCAUAACCGAGGAAACCCAGAAAUCGAUUACAAUAAAAUUCAAUUCAAUGACCUAACCUUUAUUAUUAGAACAAAACCCACUUUGUAAAUAAUAUAAACUAUCUUCAAGCUAAAAAAACACGAAUGACAAUCGGGCGAUUAUUAUAUUUUUCGAGUCAACUCGGUUAACCGAAAUACUCG